UACGGGGGGUGCGAGCGUUGUCCGGAUUCACUGGGCGUAAAGGGCUCGUAGGCGGCCAACUAAGUCAUACGUGAAAUCCCUCGGCUUAACCGGGGAACUGCGUCUGAUACUGGAUGGCUUGAGAUUGGGAGAGGGAUGCGGAAUUCCAGGUGUAGCGGUGAAAUGCGUAGAUAUCUGGAGGAACACCGGUGGCGAAGGCGGCAUCCUGGACCAACACUGACGCUGAGGAGCGAAAGCCAGGGGAGCAAACGGG
rnacentral:rRNA from 1 species